rnacentral:rRNA from 1 species
UCAAACAAGUAGGACUACCCGCUGAACUUAAGCAUAU